rnacentral:rRNA from 1 species
AACGAACGCUGGCGGCGCGCCUAAUACAUGCAAGUCGAACGAGAAGCUGUAGCAAUACAGUUGUACAGUGGCGAACGGGUGAGGAAUACAUGGGUGACCUACCCUCGAGUGGGGAAUAACCAGCCGAAAGGUUGGCUAAUACCGCGUACGCUUCCCAGUCUACGGGUUGGGAAGGAAAGCGAUGCCGUGGGUAUCGCGCUCAAGGUUGGGCUCAUGUCCUAUCAGCUUGNGGUGGGGUAACGGCUCACCAAGGCAACGACGGGUAGCUGGUCUGAGAGGACGAUCAGCCACACUGGCACUGCGACACGGGCCAGACUCCUACGGGAGGCAGCAGUAAGGAAUAUUGCGCAAUGGGCGAAAGCCUGACGCAGCGACGCCGCGUGGGGGAUGAAGGUCUUCGGAUUGUAAACCCCUUUCGGGAGGGAAGAUGGAACGAGCAAUCGUUCGGACGGUACCUCCAGAAGCAGCCACGGCUAACUUCGUGCCAGCCGCCGCGGU